UAAUUUGACAAGAAAGAAAGAUAUUUCGGCAGGAAAGAAUAUAUAGGUCGGCGUAAGCGAGAGGCUCAUGAGCCAAAAUCCGAACCCAAAUUACCGAAACGUCAUAGGGCACGGGGGUCCGACCCUUAAUACAGAACCCGGCUUUCCUUCUUCUUCAUACGCUUUCAUCUUUCGCCGCCAUCGCCUAGGUUUUACCAAUCCUACACUUGUAAUUUUGCUCGAAAUUUCUCUUACUGAUUUUACCAGUUGAGCGACGGAUUUCCUUUCUUUUUUGUUCUCUUUCGUUUGUUGUUUGUUAUGUAAUGAAUUUGAGUGAGGAAGCUGUAAUUGACUGUUUCCGCUGGUGUUGAAUCUUGAAUUCGUGAAUGGUCUGUGAUCCAUAUGGUUGAAUCUUCAUUCAUCUCUAGAAAAUGCUCGUCGGCGACGUAGUGAUCCUCCAGCACACGCUACUCCCUACCCUUUUAUCUCAAGCUCAGUAUUCGCCAUGUCGAGAGGUUGCAGAUUCUUGACAGUCGGAAAUAUCAGAAGAGUAUCGUCAUCUUUGUGGACAAAAAGGAUUAGCAUCUGUUUAGAAGGGUCAAAACAUGGAAGUGUUGUUAGAGCUGGAUUAUGUUCUCCUCAAUACAGAUUGUUGCAGAACUUGUUGCCAAGCAAGAGACAUGCUUGGAAUGCAACCCAUGAAAUGGGAAAAGGUUUCUGCAAUAGUUGCAUCAGGAGUUACUCGGCCAUUCCCGCCAGUAAUACUAUAGCCCAUCAUGCCCAAGUUGCUUGGAAGAGGAUGGCACGGGCAUCUGUACUUAAUGGGCGUACUCGUAUCCCUAUAAAUCGUAUUGCUCAGGCAGUCAGCUUGGGUUUGAGCCGCUCUUACAUAGUUGUUCCUGGCAUAUUUACUCUGAUGUGCGGGACCCAGAUAGCAUGGGCACAAGCCACUCCAGAGGCUGAUAUCUUUCAGCCAAGGAAUACUUUUUACAUGCGUGCUGAGGAUAGCCAUCUUUUUUUGACAACACUAAUCCUUUCGGCGUUUGAAUGCAUUUUCUUGUUGCUGAGAGCUUUAUAUCUGGCUGUUUUGUUCACACCAAGCAUUGCCAUGGCUCCUUUUGCAGAUAGUUUUGGACCACAGUUUAGGAAAUUGUGGCUUCAGGUUGUUCACCAAACUCUAGAAAGAGCAGGUCCGGCAUUCAUAAAAUGGGGACAGUGGGCGGCCACGCGACCAGAUCUUUUCCCUAGAGACUUGUGCAUGGAAUUGUCGAAACUUCACACACAAGCACCUGAACAUAGCUUUGCCUACACAAAAAAGACUAUUGAAAAAGCUUUUGGUCGUAAAAUUUCUGAAAUUUUUGAUGACUUUGAGGAAGAACCUGUGGCGUCUGGAAGUAUUGCUCAAGUGCAUCGAGCUUCUUUGCGGUCUCGUUAUCGUGGCCGCCAGAUCAAGCCAAUGCUAGUUGCAGUUAAGGUGAGACAUCCAGGAGUGGGGGAAUCCAUAAAAAGGGAUUUUGAGAUAAUUAAUAUAGUGGCAAAAAUUUCAACCUAUAUUCCUGCACUGAAUUGGUUGAGAUUGGACGAAAGUGUCCAGCAGUUUGCAGUUUUCAUGAUGUCUCAAGUGGAUCUUGCUCGAGAAGCUGCUCAUCUGAGCCGCUUCAUAUAUAAUUUUCGCAGAUGGAAGGAUGUUUCUUUCCCAAAGCCUGUAUAUCCUCUAGUCCAUCCGGCUGUUUUGGUAGAAACCUUUGAGCAUGGGGAGAGUGUCUCUCACUAUGUCGAUGAGCUUGAGGGGAAUGAUCGAAUUAAAAGUGCUCUUGCCCAUAUUGGAACCCAUGCACUGCUGAAGAUGCUCUUGGUAGACAACUUUGUUCAUGCUGACAUGCACCCUGGAAACAUCCUUGUCCGUGUAGCCCGGAGCAAGCGUUCUAACAAAAAGCUCUUCAAAACCAAGCCUCAUGUUAUAUUUCUUGACGUAGGCAUGACUGCUGAACUUUCUAAGAAUGAUCGAAUAAAUUUACUGGAGUUCUUUAAGGCUGUUGCUCGUAGAGAUGGUCGUACAGCAGCUGAGUGCACGCUUAGAUUGUCAAAGAAGCAGAACUGUCCCAAUCCAGAGGCUUUCAUUCAGGAAGUGAAAGAGUCAUUUGAUUUUUGGGGUACACCAGAAGGAGAUGUGGUCCACCCUGCUGAGUGCAUGCAGCAAUUACUUGAGCAGGUUCGGCGUCAUAGGGUAAAUGUGGAUGGCAAUGUUUGCACUGUGAUGGUGACAGUUCUGGUCCUUGAGGGCUGGCAGAGGAAGCUUGAUCCAGAUUAUGAUGUGAUGCAUACACUGCAGACGCUGCUCCUCAAAGCUGACUGGGCAGAAUCACUGUCUUACACGAUCGAGGGGCUUAUGGCGCCAUGAAUGGUCUUCAAAAGCUGCUAGUAGUGCACAACAAUUCGACUGUAGAAGACAACUGUAUAUCAGUCGACAUAUAAAAUUGCUUUGCAUAUAACAUCUUUAGCUUGCUCUCAUACUCAAAGUCACAAUUUUGUAAGGACGUUUUGUCUUGUAUUAUUCAUUGCAUUGUUCUGGUUACAGUGGCCAUGUUAAACCCACUCACGAGGACAUUAAGCAAAACUCCAACUGUAUUGAGGUAGGGUGGCAUGGAAGCUCGUGGGUGGUACUUGCAGUUUUGACAACAAAUUUCCGAUUCUCAAAAAAAAGAGCUUCAUUUAUCAAGACUACCUUUUUUGCUCAAAUCAAUUUUUUCGCAGGAACCAGCGCUGUUUUUCUAAAGUCGGAUGCAUCCCAAAGUGCAGAUGCUUUCAGUUGAAGAUGUUUUCUUUAGUCUACAUUUUUGGAUUGGCACUGCUUUUACAUACAUUAUAAAAGACAAACAACACUACUCAUCAUGUUACGGUGUAGGAAUUCAAUGGAAUGAAAUAUACAAAUUUAGCUGUUGCUCAUACUCCUUUCUUCUUUACAAGAAUUAUGUCUCUACUGCAGGAGUAGGUUGCACAGGCUGGGAGCCACUACAUAAAUCCCUCUAUUUUUAGCCAUGCCUAACAGAUGUACAAGAAUGCAGCUUUGCAGCUUUUUUGCACUAUAAGCUGCAUCAAAACUAGUGUCAGUGAAAUGUCUAUACAUAGUAAAUCAUUUAUCUACUUCGAUUUUGAAUGAAUGUGGAUCAAGAAUGAAAAUAGUGAUAAUAGUACAUGCACGAGUUAGAAAACCCAAUUGAGACUCCUCGGUUUUACCAUGUUUU